AGUGAACGCUGGCGGUAGGCCUAACACAUGCAAGUCGAACGGCAGCACAGUAAGAGCUUGCUCUUACGGGUGGCGAGUGGCGGACGGGUGAGGAAUACAUCGGAAUCUACUUUUUCGUGGGGGAUAACGUAGGGAAACUUACGCUAAUACCGCAUACGACCUACGGGUGAAAGCAGGGGUUCUUCGGACCUUGCGCGAUUGAAUGAGCCGAUGUCGGAUUAGCUAGUUGGCGGGGUAAAGGCCCACCAAGGCGACGAUCCGUAGCUGGUCUGAGAGGAUGAUCAGCCACACUGGAACUGAGACACGGUCCAGACUCCUACGGGAGGCAGCAGUGGGGAGUAUUGGACAAUGGGCGCAAGCCUGAUCCAGCCAUACCGCGUGGGUGAAGAAGGCCUUCGGGUUGUAAAGCCCUUUUGUUGGGAAAGAAAAGCAGCAGGUUAAUACCCCGCUGUUCUGACGGUACCCAAAGAAUAAGCACCGGCUAACUUCGUG
rnacentral:rRNA from 1 species